CGGGAAGUAGCUCAGCUUGGUAGAGCACUUGGUUUGGGACCAAGGGGUCGUAGGUUCGAAUCCUGUCUUCCCGACCA
rnacentral:tRNA from 2 species